rnacentral:rRNA from 1 species
AAUGGGCGAGAGCCUGAACCAGCCAAGUCGCGUGAAGGAAGAAGGAUCUAUGGUUCGUAAACUUCUUUUGCAGGGGAAUAAAGUGCAGGACGUGUCCUGUUUUGUAUGUACCCUGAGAAUAAGGAUCGGCUAACUCCGUGCCAGCAGCCGCGGUAAUACGGAGGAUCCGAGCGUUAUCCGGAUUUAUUGGGUUUAAAGGGUGCGUAGGCGGGGCGCUAAGUAGGCGGUGAAAGGCGGCGGCUCAACCGUCGGAAUGCCGUUGCUACUGGCGUACUUGAAUGCGGUCGAGGCGGGUGGAAUGCGUGGUGUAGCGGUGAAAUGCAUAGAUAUCACGCAGAACGCCGAUAGCGAAGGCAGCUCGCCGGGCCGUGAUUGACGCUGAGCCACGAAAGCGUGGGGAUCGAA